rnacentral:lncRNA from 1 species
GCAGCAGUCUGUUAGGGUUUCCACCAGAUGCCCACGUGUUCAUCCUCCAACGUUGAUCCACACGAGGACUCGAUCAACCCACUAGCACCUAUUUGAAAAUUCUCUAUAAUUAAAUUCUAAUUUAUCAGAAUUUAAAUGCUAUUUGGGCAGAACCUCCUUUCUUGGCUUUGCUGUCACCCUGUUGGACCUUUUCUUGCCU